rnacentral:rRNA from 1 species
UACGAAGGGGGCUAGCGUUGUUCGGAAUUACUGGGCGUAAAGCGCACGUAGGCGGACUAUUAAGUCAGGGGUGAAAUCCUGGAGCUCAACUCCAGAACUGCCUUUGAUACUGGGGAUCUCGAGUCCGGAAGAGGUGAGUGGGAACUCCGAGUGUAGAGGUGAAAUUCGUAGAUAUUCGGAAGAACACCAGUGGCGAAGGCGGCUCACUGGUCCGGUACUGACGCUGAGGUGCGAAAGCGUGGGGAGCAAACAGG